GUGUUGUAUGAAAAGAGAGAAUGUUAGUUUUCCCUUGACAAGGACGGAGAGGCCGUGGGCCUACAACGUACAUGUGGUUAAAGUAUUGU
rnacentral:snRNA from 1 species